GACGAACGCUGGCGGCGUGCCUAAUACAUGCAAGUCGAACGCAGUGGGGACGGGUGAGUAACACGUGGGUAACCUCCCAUCAGAGGGGAUAACACUUGGAAACAGGUGCUAAACCGAUACUGAUGGAUGGACCCGCGGUGCAUUAGCUAGUUGGUGAGGUAACGGCUCCCCAAGGCCACGAUGCAUAGCCAACCUAGGAGGGGGAUCGGCCACGCGGGAACUGAGACACGGCCCAGACUCCUAGGGGAGGCAGCAGUGGGGAAUCUUGGGCAAUGGACGAAAGUCUGACGGAGCAACGCCGCGUGAGUGAAGAAGGUUUUCGGAUCGGAAGACUCUGUUGUUGGGGAAGCGGUAGCUAACCAGAAAGCCACGGCUAACUACGUGCCAGCAGCCGCGGUAAUUC
rnacentral:rRNA from 1 species